UACGUAGGGUGCAAGCGUUGUCCGGAAUUAUUGGGCGUAAAGAGCUCGUAGGCGGUUUGUCGCGUCUGCUGUGAAAACUCGGGGCUCAACCCCGAGCUUGCAGUGGGUACGGGCAGACUAGAGUGCGGUAGGGGAGACUGGAAUUCCUGGUGUAGCGGUGGAAUGCGCAGAUAUCAGGAGGAACACCGGUGGCGAAGGCGGUUGCCUGGAGCUUUGCUGACGCUGAGGCGCGAAAGCGUGGGGAGCGAUCCGG
rnacentral:rRNA from 1 species